rnacentral:rRNA from 1 species
GACAGAGGUGCCGAGCGUUAGGCGGAAUCACUGGGCUUAAAGCGUGUGUAGGCGGAGGCCUAAGUACCUUGUGAAAUCCCACGGCUCAACCGUGGAACUGCUUGGUAUACUGGGUCUCUUGAGCCACCUAGGGGCAAGUGGAACAAACGGUGGAGCGGUGAAAUGCGUAGAUAUCGUUUGGAACGCCAAUGGUGAAAACAACUUGCUGGGGGUGUGCUGACGCUGAGACACGAAAGCCAGGGGAGCAAACGGGAUUAGAUACCCCGGUAGUCCUGGCCGUAAACGAUGUCGACUAGAUCGCAGUAGCUCUGACGCUAUCGCGGUCGAAGCAAAAGUGCUAAGUCGACCGCCUGGGAAGUACGGUCGCAAGGCUAAA